CGAACAGCGUGAGGGGCGUUCCUAAAACGACACCAUCACGCACGGAUGGAACGAGUGCGUCAUUUUUCUACCAAUAAUAUUCAGGAAAAGAUUCAGCAUAGCCUAUCCAUGAGUGUGCUUCUGUUGGAGGUGCUCCCACAAGCAGCUGAUAGACCUGUUCAGAGAGAAUGUGGAAGACUGCGUAGCCAUCAGCAGCCCAGGCCAUCCCGGCCAGCCCCUCAUACAGGUUAACACAAAGACGCAGGAUGGAGUUAACUGGUACAUUCCUGAGUAAGGUUGACACUAGUGUCUAUUCCUGGGAUUCUCUGAAGGAGGACUUCAGGAGUCUGCUGGCAUGCGAAGAGGACCACCAUCCCUGACAGACAGAGACUGGGCCCAAGGCGGUACCACCUCAUAUAUCCGGUUGUAUCCAUUUUUAUCCUUUUGUACUGGAGAGGACGUGGGGCUGCAAAUCGUUGUCCGUCCGUCCGUCCGUCCGUCCCCCACCACUCCUAACAGAGUUGCAGCCAAGUUGUGGGUUGAAAUGCUAUUCUCUACCUCCCCACCUGCCAGACCUGGAGUCUCCCUGAGAGCCUGUAUGGAGCUCUCCUAAUGUGUCAUGCCCAGACUGCCUGUACUAUCACAGCAAUCAUGUACUACCACGGUUUAAAUAAUGGAUCAGCCUCUUUAGAGAAUACCUUACAACCAUGUAUUCAAGGUAGAGCAGACACUUCCAUUAGGACGGAAAGGUUUGAGGUUAACCUUAUCAUCAGGACUGAACCAUAUAGGCCUAACUACAGCAUUGUUUGGCCUCCUUCCCCUUUCAAUCUACCCACUUCUCAAAGCAUGUUCCCCUUUAGUGUUGCUAGCAGCAACCUGAAUCCUUCGCCUUCUCAUGUACCCUUGAUGUUUUAUGGAGUAAAAGCAGGCCAAUAAAAGAGAAUUUGUCCAAAACGGGCUCAUACGACACAGAGGGAAAAGAUGUUUAAAACAGAUUUUUUAUAUUUGAAUUCAACUUUUUUUUAUGAGAACAUAGGGCAUCUGUGUUUUUAGGGUUAGGCUGCAUGGGGACUGGAGGGGCUGCUGUCUUUGUAGGGUUAGGCUGCAUGGGGACUGAGUACACUAGUGAGUACACUGG
ensembl:lncRNA